rnacentral:lncRNA from 1 species
UGUGGAUAGGGUGCAGGCUACCUGGAGGAUCUAUUGUCUUGCUUAUAGAAAUAAAAUUAUUCUUUUAAAUUUUCAACUUCAUAGAAUGAAAAAUUAAGAGGAAGCCCAAGAUUAAAAGCCAAGGGAUGGAUAGAGAAUUUCAGGAAAAACAGAACAUAUUGGAGUAGUCAGGGAAGGCAUUGUAGAACUGGGACUUAGUUCAUCGAACACUCAUCUGACUGUUCCUAUGAAUUAUACCUUCUGUGGGCUCAAAGUUCAAGGCAGCAGGGAAGAUUCGGCAGACAGGUGCCUCGGGAGGGAGAGGGCCUUGAUGGGGAUCGUUUCCCUAAGACUUGGCUUCCACAGCUGGUUCGGUCCCACUCCCUGCCUGCUUCACUCUGAUUUUCACAAUGAAUGGCCAGAAUCAAGAGUGAUCCAGAAGCCUGCGGAAGGUGGCGCAGCAGAGGGAGCUGGUCGUCCCGAAUCCUGCAUCUGCUGCACUAGUUUGACAGUUAAAAUGACUACGUUCUUAAAACAUUUUUUUUUUUUUUUUUUUUUUUUUUGCUUUAUUUUGAAUAAACAGACCCUCCUGGGAGUAACAAAGACA